rnacentral:rRNA from 1 species
CCUACGGGUGGCAGCAGUGAGGAAUAUUGGUCAAUGGCCGGAAGGCUGAACCAGCCAUGCCGCGUGAAGGGCAGGGACCUAGGGGCGUGAAACUUCUUUUGUGCGGGAGCAAGAAUGGUCACGUGGGGCCAGACGAGAGUACCGUACGAAGAAGCAGCGGCUAACUCCGGGCCAGCAGCCGCGGUAAGACGGGGGAUGCAAGCGUUAGCCGGAUUUAGUGGGUUUACAGGGUGCGUAGGCUGUGAGGUAAGUCAGCGGUGAAAGGCCCCCGCUCAACGGGGGGAAGUGCCAUUGAUACUGCCUUGCUGGACUGCGGCUGCCGUGGGCGGAAUGUGUGGUGUCGCGGU